UACGAAGGGGGCUAGCGUUGCUCGGAAUCACUGGGCGUAAAGGGCGCGUAGGCGGAUCUUUAAGUCGGGGGUGAAAGCCCAGGGCUCAACCCUGGAAUUGCCUUCGAUACUGGAGAUCUUGAGACCGGAAGAGGUAAGUGGAACUGCGAGUGUAGAGGUGAAAUUCGUAGAUAUUCGCAAGAACACCAGUGGCGAAGGCGGCUUACUGGUCCGGUUCUGACGCUGAGGCGCGGAAAGCGUGGG
rnacentral:rRNA from 1 species